ACCUGGGUGGCUCAACUGGUUAAGCAUCUGACUUCAGCUCAGGAUUCGUGGGUUCAAGCCCCGCAUUGGGCU
rnacentral:tRNA from 1 species